UUCCAAAAAUGCAAAAAUCCGGAUUUGAACCAGCGACCUAAGGAUCACCGUUGAUACAUCUACAGUUCUCCGCUCUGCCAACUGAGCUAUCGAGGA
rnacentral:tRNA from 1 species